UCCGCCAUCUUUUCUUAUGCC
rnacentral:siRNA from 1 species